ensembl:misc_RNA 7SK 7SK RNA
GGGUGGCAGGUAUUUUGCCUCAGCAGUGGGAUAAAAGUAACUAAAAACUCCCUCACUGCCCCAUGUGAGUCCCUCGCAAAGGUACACACUUGAUCAAAGAGGAUGACUGACUGCCCCCGCCCCCCGGCCAAUCCUCACAUAGAGGAGGACCAGUUCCUCACCAAGGGUCCCUGAGUAGUCACACUCCCUUGCUAGGACCUCCAAACUCUUGGAAAGCAGCAGGCCAUUUUAGCAAGUGAAAUAUCCUAUGGAUACUCAACAGAGAGUUGUGCUUGAGA